AUGUUUUGUGGGGCUGGGAGAGU
rnacentral:piRNA from 1 species